rnacentral:tRNA from 1 species
GAAAGAGCGUUUAAAUACACUUUGGUUUCGACCCAAAACAAGGAAGUGAUACUCCUUCCCUCUUUCU